rnacentral:rRNA from 1 species
GGGAUACCACUUGGAAACAGGUGCUAAUACGGGAUAAGAAAGCAGAUCGCAUGAUCAGCUUUUAAAAAAGGCGGCGUAAAGCUGUCGCUAUGGGAUGGCCCCGCGGUGCAUUAGCUAGUUGGUAAGGUAAAGGCUUACCAAGGCGAUGAUGCAUAGCCGAGUUGAGAGACUGAUCGGCCACAUUGGGACUGAGACACGGCCCAAACUCCUACGGGAGGCAGCAGUAGGGAAUCUUCCACAAUGGACGCAAGUCUGAUGGAGCAACGCCGCGUGAGUGAAGAAGGUUGUCGGAUCGUAAAGCUCUGUUGUUGGUGAAGAAGGAUAGAGGUAGUAACUGGCCUUUAUUUGACGGUAAUCAACCAGAAAGUCACGGGCUAACUACGUGCCCAGCAGCCGCGGUAAAU